UAUAAUAUCUGCUGAUUUAUCUUCUCUAAUUAUCUAGUUUUUUAUUUUAUUUGAUUUUGAUUUUGGAGGGCUGAGAUUGAAGGCUGAAGAAUCCCAUUGGAAAUGAGAAUUCAAUCAGAAGAGUCCAGUGGGAUUCAAAGAUUGAAUUCCCGUCCAAGGAGGAAUUGGGAUUGAUCAGGAACUCCUGAUCAAUCCCUAUAAAAGGGACUCUGGAACAGAAUGCAAGACACA
rnacentral:lncRNA from 1 species